rnacentral:lncRNA from 1 species
CUCCUCCACUGCCCGUCUGUUCUCUUGUCUCCUUAAGUAUCACCUAUGCCUGGGUUCCCAUCACCUGCUCUGAGCACCCUUAGGGACAUCUUGUUCACCCGUGUGUCCUUCCUAAUGGUACCGAGGUCACACGGUCAGCUGUGCUUUGCCGUGGCUAUCAGAGGUCACAGGCUCUCUUCUCUGGGGGAUGGCUCUCCUCCUAGAAGCGGGGUUGAUGGCUCAUGUCCCUGCAGCUGAGACUGUUUCAUUUACCUUUGUGCCAUUCCAAGGAGGGAGGGGAACCUGUGAGAUGUCAGUCCUUCCCAGCCUGCCCCCCAUCUUACUACAGCCAACCUGGGCAUUCCCAGAUGGUUUCUUAAAAAAAAGAAAGAAAAAAGCAUAUAUAUAUAUAUAUAUAUGUAUAUAUAGAAUACACAUAGAAAAUAGAUAAAUGAAUGAUUUGUUUCAGCACCCUCAAAAAUAUUUUACCAAUAGUGUUGUGUUUUACCUACAUGAGAGCCAAGAAGAGACUAGGAAAAACACAUUUACUUAUUUAUUUUAAUUAAUAUUUUUUUAUUGAAGUAUAAUCGAUUUACAUUUUGUGUUAAUUUCUGCUAUACAGCAAAGUGAUUCAGUUAUACAUAUAUAUACAUUCUUUUUUUAAAAUAUUCUUUUCCAUUAUGUUUUAUCACAGGAUACUGAAUGUAUUAUAGUUCCUUGUGCUACACAGUAGGACCUUGUUGUUUAUCCAUUCCAUAUGUACUAGUUUACAUCUGCCAACCCCUGAAUUCCCAAUCCACCCCUCCGUCACCCUUCCUACCCUUGGGAGCCACAGGGAAAGACAGAGUUCUGUUCUCCGAGCCUAUGAGUCUGUUGCUGUUUGAACAAUAGAUUCAUUUGUGUCAUAUUUUAGAUUCCACACGUAAGUGAUAUCAUAUGUUAUUUGUCCCUCUGUCUCUGACUUACUUUACUUAGUAUGAUAAUCUCCAGGUCCAUCCAUGUUGCUACAAAUGGCAUUUUUUUGUUGAUGUUUAGAAUCCAGAGACGUGGCAGACGCUGUCAAUGCCCCACUCACGCCCCUUGGCACUUACUCUUCAGGACUCAGGCUCCCUCCGGUGAGCACCUGUGACUCACCCUGUGGGCAGGGCAAGCAGGAAAUGCCAGAGAGUUAACACCCCUGGGAGCAGCCCUCAGCCAGAGAUGGAGUUGAUAAAUACCCUGGCUCCCUUUCUGCACUGGGAGGAGGUGACCAAAGUGUGUCCUGUGCUAUCUCCCCAGAGUUCCCCAGCAGGAGGGAGGCUCAGUUGCCCAUCGCCAUAAUCUGCUCAACAACUUUUUGGCUCCGUCUUUCCCCCACAUCACUUUCUCACUCUCCUACUGAUGUUUCCUGAGAUCAGCUUCCCCCUGCUUCCCAAAUUUGUGCUCCAGUUCUUGUCUUGGGCUCUGUUUCUGGGGGAGUCCAAACUAAGGCAAGAGAUUGCAUACCCAAGCUUUAAGAUUUAAGUGUUUUCCUAUGAAGCCAUACCUGAUUUGAACACUAGCCUAAUAAUGUAUAGUAUUAAUAAUAUACUUCCUUUUUUCCCUGUCUUUUAUUUUUUUUAAUUGGAGGAUAAUAGCUUUGCAAUGUUAGGUUGGUUUCUGCCAUACAACAUCGUGAAUCAGUCAUAACUAUAUAUAAUAUAUAUCCCCUCCCUUUUGAGCCUCCAGUAAUACACUUUCUAUAAUGUAUUAUUAAAGGAAAAACAUACUAAAGUGCCUUGUGCACAGCACUUCUUUCUAUCUGGGUUGCGUGAACUCUGCUGGACUUUGAGAGGCUGCUGCUGCUAAGUCACUUCAGUCGUGUCCGACUCUGUGCGACCCCAUAGAUGGAAGCCCACCAGGCUCCCCCAUCCCUGGGAUUCUCCAGGCAAGAACACUGGAGUGGGUUGCCAUUUCCUUCUCCAAUGCAUGGAGGUGAAAAGUGAAAGUAAAGUCGCUCAGUCAUGUCUGACUCUUCGUGACCCCAUGGACUGCAGCCUACCAGGCUCCUCCGUCCAUGGGAUUUUCCAGGCAAGAGUAAUGGAGUGGGUUGCCAUUGCCUUCUCCGUUUGAGAGACUAAUAGGUGUUAAAAGAUUUGAGGCUCAAAUAUGCUUGAGUUCAACAAAAUGAAGCAGGUUUCUUUACUUCAGUACUCUUGUAGUCUUUAGGAAAUUAAUAGACUGUCAGUUUCCAAAAGUGCAGGCUAUAUGCUUUCCAAAUUCAGUUGAUCUUAGAAUCACUUUUUCUCAGGAAGCCCUCUUAAUACCUUGCAGAGGAGGCUGGCAUUUCAUGGAAUAGACUUUAGGAAAGGCCUUGGUGUGCAAGCUAUAGGAUUAAAACAUAAUAUUGAGCAAAAGAUGAGGCAAGUUUUUCUGGGGGUGAGAAUGCUGCAUUUCAGGGCACCUGUGUUUUCUUUUAUGUUUUAGCCUACUAGAAGGACAGUCAUCUGUGGGCUGAGAUCAGAUGUUAAUAUUUCUUUUGCACAGAAAACCAUUUAAAUGUUUUUAUUUGAACAUUCACUGAGAAAAGAGGCAGAGAAACUUGUUCCUCAAAGUGCGAUCGGUAGACCAGCAGCAUCAGCCUCACCUAGAAGCUGGUUAGGAAUUAUAGGUUUCAAGAGAAAAUUAUUCAUCGUACCAGAGCCAUGAAGAUUGUGAGUGUGGUGAGUAUCAGUCCCUCAGUCGUGUCCGACUCUUGGUGAUACCAUGGACUGUAGCCCACCAGGCUCCUCUGUCCAUGGAAUUCUCCAGGCAAGAAUUCUGGAGUGGGUUGCCAUUUCCUUCUCCAGGGGAUCUUCCCUACCCAGGGACGAAACCCAUGUCUCUUGCAUUGCAGGCAGAUUCUUUAUCAUCUGAGCCACCAGAGAAGCCCCCAUGAAGAUUGUAUAUGUGUCUAAAUGUGUGUAAAGGAAAUAUUUAAGACAAUUAUAUCAUAAAUUGGGGGGGGUAAAGGGAUAUAAUAGGAGGUAAGUUUUCUACAUUUCACUCAAACUGGUAAAAUGGUGCCACUGGUAGACAGGAAUAAUAUGUAUGUGUUUCUAUAUAUUAGUAUGAGUAUUACCUAGAAGAACUAAUAAGAAAACUAUGUAAGGAGAUAGAUGCAAAAACAACUACACAACUCUAAAAAAUAUUCUAGAAACCCAGAGGAAGGCAGGAAAAAGAAAACUGAAAUGAAAAGCAGAGAAUAAGCAGAACACAAAAUAUAAAAAGGCAGAUAUAAGAUUUUAUAUAUUAAUAAUUACAUUACAUUUAAAUGGCCUAAAUAUACCAAUUAUGGGGGGCUUACCAGGUGGCGCUAGUGGUAAAGAAUCUAACUGUCAGCGCAGGAGACAUGAGAGAUAUGGGUUCGAUCCCUGGGUCAGGAAGAUCCUCUGGAGUAGGAAAUGGCAACCCAGUCCAGUAUUCUUACCUGGGAAAUCCCAUUGACAGAGAAGCCUGGUGGGCUGUAGUCCACAGGAUCGCAAAGAGUUGGACAUGACUGAAGUGACUUAGCAGAAUUAUAAGAUAGAGAAUGGCAGAAUAGAUUUUAAAAAUGACUUGGUUAUAUGUAAUCUGUAAAAAAUACACUUCAAAUAUGGAUAUUUGAAUUUAAUAUGUAUUGAUAUACAUAUAAAAUAUGAUAUGGGCUGGUUGAAAGGGAGAAGAUGGGAGAGCUGUAUAAUUCAAACAUUAAUCAAAAUAAAGCAGGAGUGGCUAUAUCAAUAGAAGAUAAAGUAGACUACAGAAAAAAAAAUUUCCAGGAGGAGAGAAUAUCAUAUAAUAAUAAAAGAGUAAAUACACCAAGAAAACAUAGCAUUCCUAAAUAUGGAUGCACCAAACCACAGAACAGCUAAAUAUGUGAAUAGAAAACUGAUAGAACUGAAAAGAGAAAUAGACAAAUUCACAGAUAAAGUUGGAGACAUCAACAUUCCUCUCAACAACUAAUAAACAGCUGGACAGAAAAUUGGCAAAGAUAUACAAGAAUGCAACACUACCAUCAACCAACAUUUAUAAAACACUCCACCUAACAAAAGAAGAAUAUACAUUCCUUUCAAAUGCUCAUGGAACAUAUAUACCAAGAUAGAACAUAUCCUGGACCAUAAAACAAACCGAAACAAAAUUAAAGGAUGAAAUCAUAGAGUUGUUUUCUUACUAUGAUGUAAUGAAACUAGAAAUCAAUACCUGAAAGAUAUCAGGAAAAUUUUUAAAAACUUGGAAAUGAAACAAAACAUUUCCAAUAACCCAUGUGACAAAAAGGAAGUCUCAAGUGAAAUUUAAAAAAAUACACUGAACUGAAAGUGAAAGUCGCUCAGUCAUGUCCGACUCUUUGCGA